rnacentral:rRNA from 1 species
UACAGAGGUGGCAAGCGUUGUUCGGAAUUACUGGGACGUAAGGGCGCGUAGGCGGCUUGGUCAGUCCCGUGUGAAAUCCCUCCGGCUCAACUGAGGAACUGCACGGGAAACUGCCUGGCUUGAGUUCGGGAGAGGGAAGCGGAAUUCCGGGUGGUAGCGGUGAAAUGCGUAGAUAUCCGGAGGAACACCGGUGGCGAAGGCGGCUUCCUGGACCGACA